UUGAUUGGUCGAAGGACCUUAUCAGAUUCUACCACCUCUGUGAACCGUUGACCUCCGGGUUAAUAAUCAAACAUCAGUGUAACGAACGUAAGAGUAUCUUAAUUAAACA
rnacentral:misc_RNA from 1 species